CAGAGAGGAAGCUCCCACAAAGCUCCCCAAAAGAGAAACGGGCCACACGGCCGCAUCCCGAGAGCUGCGGCACCUCCACAGAA
rnacentral:ribozyme from 12 species